GGAAGUAAAAGUCGUAGCAAGGUCUCCGUAGGUGAACCUGCGGAGGGAUCAUUACAGAGUUCAUGCCCUACCGGGUAGAUCUCCCCCCCUAUGUUAUUAUUACUUUGUUGCUUUGGCGGGCCGUUAGGCUCCGGCCCGACUACCGGCCCCGGCUGGUAAGCGCCCGCCAGCGGACCCAAAACCCUGAAUAUUAGUGUCGUCUGAGUACUAUAUAAUAGUUAAAACUUUCAACAACGGAUCUCUUGGUUCUG
rnacentral:misc_RNA from 1 species